GCUCCCGGAGCAACACACAGUGACAGUUGGAGACCGCCGAGGCGCUUAAAAACCCCGGCGUGGAUCUGUGGAAGAUUGUAGUCUACACGAAUAAGAGCCAGACGUGAGGGAGGGCCGGCGAUAACUUGACACUGCCACCUACAGCCCUGACUGGCUUCUUGACAAAUAUGUGCAGGUGUUGAAGAAACAUGAAACCAGAGCCGGAUCGAGCCUUCAUGUGGGCUUAAACCGGAUUUGAUUUGAUGCCAGCGAACUCCUCACACUCCUACAAAAAAAGUUUCCAGUGCUGUCAGUAAACUACCGAUGCUCUCGCAAUCUGGG